AUGGCAGCAAGAACCGUGCAGGGCCUUAGAAGAGACAGAGCAGAGCGGGACAGCAGCAGAGACCCACAUGGGUUGACGUGGCCCCCAACUCCACGGCAUGCUGACCAGGAAGCCCCGGACAAGGCUCCCUGGGAGAAGACCUCCAGCCACCACACAGCUGUGGGCCCCAGGCCGGGCUGCAGUCCUGGAGGGAGCCCGGCCCCUGGAGCACAGCCCUUGGGAGCAGCUGGCUGUGAGAUCCAUGCCACGGAGCUGAAGACCUUUGACUGCGGAACUCUGCUUUUGGAACCAGUUUAGACCAUGAUGAUGUCUUCCGCGUCCCUGUUCCCAGCCUGUCUCAGCUCUGCUCCUCCCCACCUCAGGUCCUGCACCGGCCUUUGCCCUGAACCUGGCCCCUUCCCAGUGGUCACGGUCUGCCCCACCUACUGCCCAGACCAAUGAGAGACCGGGAGAAGCACGCCUGUAGGGGGGUGGGGGUGGAAAUACCUUCACGCCUAAAGUCAGGAUAGCAGCCGCCCCCCACCACCCCCCUGCGGUGCACCAGGGCAGGCUUCCAGAACUCCAUGGGGAGGCUAUGCCAGCUGACCUUCCCGCCUGCCUCUUCAGCCCGACUCCUGCUGCCCGCCCAUUCUUGUUCUCUAGCACCUUGACUUCAGACCAUUCCCCCCACCCGUGGGUCCUGGCCCUGCCCCUUUAUUCUCCCACCAGGAUAUGCAGAGUGUCAGCUAAGACUUUUGAAGUCCACAGACUUGGGUUCGAUACCCGUUUGGCCUGGGGCAUGUGACUACACCCCUGUUUCCUCAUCUGUAAAAUGGGCUUAACGCUCCCUUUCUAACAGGGUUGCCAUGACAAUCACAGAGGGCAAAGCAUCUAUUUAACACACAUAUAUAUUUUUAAUUUGAGAGACAGAAUGAGAGAGAGAGAGCACGAGCCGGAGAAAGGGUCAAGGGAGAGGGAGAGACAGAUUCUUUUUAUUUUUUAAAUAUUUUUAUUUUAUUCUUGAGAGAGAGAGAGACAGCGCGAGAGCGGGGGAGGGCCAGAGAGAGAGGGAGACACAGACUCUGAAGCAGGCUCCAGGCUCAGAGCUGUUGGCACAGAGCCCGACGCGGGGCCUGAACCCAUGAACCGUGAUAUCAUGACCUGAGCCGAAGUCGGAUGCUUAACCGACUGAGCCACCCAGGCGACCCUUAACACACAUUUCUGAGCACCCCCUGUGUGACUGGCACUGAGCUGUGUGCUGGGUUAGUGUUAAGACAGAGUCUGGAUGGAAGAAGCCCACAGUCUAAAGGCCGAGAUA
rnacentral:lncRNA from 1 species